GCUGGAACAUCUGUCUUCUCCUGUUCUCAGACAUCAGUGCUCUGUGUUCUCAAGCCUUCAGACUCCAUCUGUGACUUACACCAUCCCCACCCUCCCACUCUCCCCCACUGGCCACAAUGCCAGUCCUCAGGCCUUUGGACUUAGACUGAGUUUCACCUCCAACUCUUUCUUGUUUCUUCAGCUCAUAGACAGCCUAUUAUGGAACUUCUUGACCUCCACAAUCAUAGCUUCUUUUCAUUUAGUCAGUCACUUAUUUCCAGAGAUUUCCUGGUGAUGUUGCCUCACAUUUAUUUGUGGAAAUGCCAGUAUGUUUUAAGCUUGCAGCUUCCAUAAGUCAGGAUUCCAGUCACAGCUUAGCUGGAUCCUCUCAGAAGGCUACGAUCAAGGUGUCAGCCAGACUGAGUUCUCAUCAGAGGCUCGACUAGGAGAGGAUCUGCUUCCAAGUUCCCUCAGGUUGUUGGAAGGAUUCAUUUUCUUGUGGCUAAGCUCACAGGAGCUUUCUUCUUCAAGGGCAUCAGGAGAGUGGAGAGCGAGUCUACUCAAAGACUUCUAUACAAAUCAUAAGACAUCAAGUACUCUUCAACUGCCUAUUGGGAGACAAUUUCCACAGCUCUCUCAUGUUUCUGCACAACUUGUAAGCAAGACAAGACUCUCUUAUCUUCUGGACUCUAUUUUCAAGAAUACUCAUAUAGUGAACAGUGUCUUCUUCCUGAGCGAAGGGCAUAAAUGCUACUUUCCAUUUUAAAAGAUUCAAGUUCCCUAAGCUCGGAAUUCUUCUGUAAUGCAACCCAUUGUGUGUGCAGGUAUCACCUGGCAUUCUUCCCAUUACCCUGUGGGAAUUGGAGCUCAGGGAACCUUCAUAGAAAUUCUGAUAGUCUAGCUACUGCUAUUUCUAUGAGUAAUAAAUUGUUUCUGACCUAGAAGUCUUGUGUCUUCUGCUGGCACCCAUGAAAUUAUGAGGCUAAAUUGUUAGAUUACAAGUGAGGUAAAAUCUUGGACGCUUCCCAGUUCUUGACACUGACUAAAAUACAUGCAUAUUCGUUUUAUCAAGUCAGUUUGAAAAAAAAUCUAUGAAUUAAAAUAAUUACAAAAUUCUAAGGACUGAAUUUGUAAUAUAUUGGAUGAACAAAACCCUCUACCUUGGUUCUGAAAUUCUUGAUAGUUGAGAUAUGUGUAACAUUUGUAAUUUGAAAUACACAAGUAAUUCUCUAUUUAAAAGGUCAUAUAUCCAAAGUAUUGAAAAAUCUAGAAUACAUUAAACUUUAGCUAUCCAUGGUGAAAGGCAGUGGCAAAACAGCUGCAGAAAAGCUGAAACUAGAUUCAAUUAAAUCUUUGUGCCAAAACCAAGUGCACAAAAAUCUCCCAAAGCUGUUAAAACUAUACAGCUUAUUUGCUAUAAAUUUUAUAAAUGGUUAAAUAAAACAAGUUUUGAAGUAAUUUGGUAAAUUGACAAAUUUUUCACUCAUUGAUUUGUUGUAGCUAAUGAGGGAUGGUGGGGAGUGGAGAAGGGUUCAGAGAACUUGGGAAGGAUAUAAAAAUGGAGGUAUGUGGGGCAAAUGCCCCCAACUACAUGUUUUAAUCAAGAACACCAGCCUAUGAUCAAGGGAAUUUUCAUAUACAGAUGAGAGCUAGUCUCACUUGAUCUUUCUGCAUUAAAACUGUUACAAAGCAACUUCUUUAUCAAAUGAAUACAAUCACAUUUAGUAGAGGCUCUAGUUAAGACCUGAGGCUAUACUGACCUGGGUUAGAGACCUGGCUUUUACAUUUUUACCUAAUCUCUCUAAGCCUUAAUUUCUCAGUUUUAAAAGUGCAGGUAAUCAUAGCAUGUGUUUCCCAAGGAUGUUGUAAAGAUUAGUGUCAGGAUGGCUGAGUGGUGUAAGGCACCAGACCCAAGGAUGUUGUAAGGAUUAAUUGAAAUAUCCACUUGAAUUGCUUAGCAUGAUACCUGCUAUGUAGAAAGUGCUUGAUAGCCUUAACAAUAUAUAUCAUUAAGAAAUUUCCUUGGAAUGGGAAUUUCAAACCACUUUAUCAAAUAUACUUACUUCCUCACUUACUUUUGUGGUUUGGUAGCUUUUUCUUUACACAUUUAGGAGGUGGGGAAGCACAGAGAUAUAGCACUUUCUUUUUUUUUUCUUUGAGACAGAGUCUCGCCCUGUCACCCAGGCUGGAGUGCAGUGGCGCCAUCUUGGCUCACUGCAACCUCCGCCUCCCAGGUUCAAGCUAUUCUCCUGCUUCAGCUUCCUGAGUAGCUGGGACUACAGGUGCACGCCACCAAGCCCGGCUAAUUUUUGUAUUUUUAGUAGAGAAGGGGUUUCACCAUGUUGGCCAGGAUGGUCUCGAUCUCCUGACCUCGUGAUCCACCCGCCUUGGCCUCCCAAAGUGCUAGGAUAACCGGUGUAAGCCACCGCACCUGGCCAGAUAUAGCACUUUCUAAAAGGUCUAUAAAUCUUUCUAAAGAUUAAUAUUGAGUGGGAUCAAUGUGUUUUAGGGAAUCCAGAUACUGCACACCACUUUGCAAAUGUUUAGAUUUUAGCAGAACAACAAAUGGACUUUGCAAAGACUGUCUUUUAAUUAUUAAACCUCUAUUUAUUAAAAAGAAAUUAGGCCAGGCACAGUGGCUCACGCCUGUAAUCCCAGAACUUUGGGAGGCCGAGGUGGGUGGAUCACCUGAGGUCAGGAGUUCAAGACCAGCCUGGCCAACAUGGUGAGACCACAUCUCUACUACAAAUACAAAAAUUAGUCGGGCAUGGUGGCAGGCACCUGCAAUCUCAGCUACUUGGGAGGCUGAAUGAAUUUACAGGUAGGAAGGCACACAUUAUAUAAGUUAAAAUUCAGUUCAACUAUGAGUGACAGAAAACCCUAAUGAGUGGUAGCUUAAACAUACAAUGUUUACUCCCUCAAACAAAAUGUCUGCCUGAUAUGUAGCUGAUGUGAGGCUCCAUGGUGUCAGGGUCCCAGGUUUCUUUUAUCUAUGGCUUUGCCAUCUUUAUCACAUGAACCAUAAUGACUGCUUGAGUUUCUUAUGGUCUAAAAUGGUUUCUUGAGUUUCCUAUCCCCAUCCAGUCAGGAAGAAAAAAAAAAAAAAAAAAAAGGAAUGACUGAUGAAGCGCUUGCUUUUAUUUUAAGAACACUUCCUGCAAGUUGCACAUACCAAUUCUGUUUGCAUUCUUUUGGCCACAACUUACCUACUUGGCCAUGCCUAGCUUCAAGAGAAGAGAAAUGUAGUCAUUAUUUUGAGUAGUUAUAUGUCCAGAUGGAAAUCAGGGGAGCUAUCACACACACACACACACACACACACACACACACACACACACACACACACACAAAGCACAAAACAGAUACUGGGGACAACUCAUCUUCUUUGCCUCAUACACUGAAAUUAAGCCAGAUUGGUCUUGUUUUUGAAAGAAAGUAACACUGUUAGUAAGAGAGACUUUGGUAUUGUCUAAUCAAACUUCUCUCUUUUUGUGGAUGAGACUCAUGUUGUCUGAGUUCAAGUUCAGAUAUCAUCCAUUCCUUGAGCUUGUAUGUGUGAUACUACACACUACAACCUAGCACAGAGAGGAUGAGAAGACAAGAAAUGAGAACUUAGGUGUUACUUAGUAUUUAUUUAUAAUAGUAGUUUUAAAAAUGCUGUCUUGACACAGUUUUGAGGCCCUGGAAAUAACAUUUUAAAGUAAAAACGUUAAAGUUUAAAGAAGAGCUUUGCCACUUAAACGGGGGAGUUUGUCUGGAAAAUAUAUUGAGUUGAAACACUUCAUCCUUGGAAGGAUUAUAUACGAUGAACAAUUGCAUAUAAAUGUGUGUUUUAGAGAGAUGUGAACGGGCAGUUAGUCCAGUGCCCUCAUUUAAGAGGCCAAAAUCCUGACUCAGAGGAGGUGUCCUUUGCCCAGAGCUUCUUAGCUAAUCUGACCAAAUGUUGGGAAAUAUAUCUUACCUAACCUACUAUUCCUUAAUUAUGGAUUUUGUGGAAAACAAUAAAACAUGUUAAUGAGUAAUUUAUAUUAGUUCAAUUUAUUACAAUUUUUUAGCUUUAAAUUACAGUUUUCUUAUAAUGAUGAAAUGUUUUAGAAUCCUUUGAAUCUAAGUAUUUACUUAUUUCCUAAAUAAAACAUUAGUACAACAUUUGAUGUUUUACUUAUGAAAUAUCCUCCUCUCCCAAGAUAAUUAAAACUUUUUCUUUCUAUUUAAAAGCUAAGAAAUGAUGUUUUAAAGGAAAAAUGAAAUUAUUUUCUUUUAGCUUCUUUUAAGGUAAAACAGCUUUUUUACUCUGUUAUUGUGGUAAUGGACAGAAAAUUGCAUACCAAAAUAUUCUGGGAGAGCAUUCUCCUAGUUGGUUUUAAAUCAUUGUGCUACCUGAAAGGUUUUUUGAUUUUGUAGGAGCUAUUUUGUCCACCAGCAUUAAUGUGACACUAGUUAUGAAAAUAUAUUGAAGGACAAGAAGUGGACACAAAGUGAUUUUUGUAACCUGGGCAGUUAAUGAAUGUGCCAACGUUUUCGAGGAAGGGACAGCAAGAAUAUUCUGCCCUGUAGUUAAAAUACUGGCUGGCUUUUAAUGUCUUCAUGCUUAAUCGUGAUCACUUUCUUGCACUGUGAUGUUUUUACGUGAACAUGUUAAAAUGGAAGUCUACCAUAUUACUUUAUAAAAUGUUUUCUGUAUGCCAGUAAACUGAAAAUAUGGAUCAACAACAACAACAAAAUGCGUCUUGACACAGUUUUGAGGCCCUAUGUAGGGGUUAGUCAAUUUUCACUGAGCAAUCGGUUAAGCCCAUAUCCCCAACCACCUCCCUUAUGAGACUCUCACCCUCCUGGCCACCAUACACUUUUCCUAAUUACUCUAAGGGCAGGUAUCAGAUAACCAGAGGCAGCUCCUAUACCCUGGAGCCCACUGAAAGUGCUCAAAUUAGUCAAUCCUAAGCCUGCGUAUCCUGCCUCAUCCAUUCCUUCCUGCAGAAACCACAAUAAAGACACUUGUCUUCCCUCUUCCUUUGCCUCACGACCAACCUUGGUGCUUCCCCUGAGUGGCCCUGUGUGGCAUAUUGUGUUCUUCCCAGAGAACUGUCAGUAUAAGAAACUGUAAAACUCUUUCUGGUUUCUGUCUGUUGAUCUGCAUCUGGCCUCACCAGGU
rnacentral:lncRNA from 1 species